rnacentral:siRNA from 1 species
AUGGUCCCUGCGGAUGCUA